GACGAAGGGGGCUAGCGUUGUUCGGAAUUACUGGGCGUAAAGCGCGUGUAGGCGGUUGUUCAAGUCAGGUGUGAAAGCCUUGAGCUCAACUCAAGAAAUGCACUUGAUACUGGAUGACUAGAGGACCGGAGAGGAUAGUGGAAUUCCCAGUGUAGUGGUGAAAUACGUAGAGAUUGGGAAGAACACCAGUGGCGAAGGCGGCUAUCUGGCUCACAACUGACGAUCAGGCACGAAAGCGUGGGGAGCAAACAGG
rnacentral:rRNA from 1 species